UGCAAGUCGGGCGGUAGCAGGGAGAAAGCUUGCUUUCUCCGCUGACGAGCGGCGGACGGGUGAGUAAUGUCUGGGGAUCUGCCUGAUGGAGGGGGAUAACUACUGGAAACGGUAGCUAAUACCGCAUAACGUCGCAAGACCAAAGUGGGGGACCUUCGGGCCUCAUGCCAUCAGAUGAACCCAGAUGGGAUUAGCUAGUAGGUGGGGUAAUGGCUCACCUAGGCGACGAUCCCUAGCUGGUCUGAGAGGAUGACCAGCCACACUGGAACUGAGACACGGUCCAGACUCCUACGGGAGGCAGCAGUGGGGAAUAUUGCACAAUGGGCGCAAGCCUGAUGCAGCCAUGCCGCGUGUAUGAAGAAGGCCUUCGGGUUGUAAAGUACUUUCAGUAGGGAGGAAGGUGUGAGCGUUAAUAG
rnacentral:rRNA from 1 species